GGUGAAGAACGCAGCGAAAUGCGAUAAGUAAUGUGAAUUGCAGAAUUCAGUGAAUCAUCGAAUCUUUGAACGCACAUUGCGCCCGCCAGUAUUCUGGCGGGCAUGCCUGUCUGAGCGUCAUUUCAACCCUCAUGCCCCUAGGGCGUGGUGUUGGGGAUCGGCCAAAGCCCGCGAGGGACGGCCGGCCCCUAAAUCUAGUGGCGGACCCGUCGUGGCCUCCUCUGCGAAGUAGUGAUAUUCCGCAUCGGAGAGCGACGAGCCCCUGCCGUUAAACCCCCAACUUUCCAAGGUUGACCUCAGAUCAGGUAGGAAUACCCGCUGAACUUAAGCAUAUCAAUAAGCGGAGGA
rnacentral:misc_RNA from 1 species